rnacentral:lncRNA from 1 species
UUUCUUCUGGUUACAGUCAGAAGGACAUCAAUUAGAAUCCUUUGCAUGUGGAGGAAUGGGGGCUAUUCCUAUAAGAUGUGUGCUGUGCUGAAAUGCAGUGACUGCACAUCUCCUUGUUAUCGUUCUCCUGCAGUUACUCAGAUCUGUUAGAAUUUUUCCAGCUCUUUCAGAUCCUACAAGGAAAAUGCUGUUUAUCACCUUCAAUUUCCCCAACGAGGCCUGAAAACUCAUUAGUACAACAGACGGUGCCAUAUGCUUCCUUGGAACCUCCUGUUCCACUACCAACAGAGGCUCAAGGACUCAGAGGGGAUGUGAUUGCCGUCCCACUCCUCAUCCCUCCUGCAUGGAAGACCUGCCACGCUCCAGGAUGCUUCCAGGUACCAUCUCAUUAGCUACAAAUCAAGCUUUGCAGUGCUGCUGGCAGCGUGGAUUCCAUCCUUUAGGUCCUCGCUGCUGGGCACUUGCCCUCAGAAGUCUCCUGGCUCGUCUGUGGUGGUGCAUUAAGGGGUAGGUCAGCUCAGAGCUGCUUUCUGCAAAGAGCUCGUGAGCCUGCAGGCUCCUUGUUGCUGUUUUUCUUUCUUAAUUGGCUUGGAGUGUGGAUGUGUGGAUGUGCAUGUGCCUGCCUCCCUCAUCAGCAGCACCCCUGGUAUUCAGCGGAGUAAUUAGAACAUCUAAAUCUUCCCUAUAUGUCAUCCAGACUUUGUGAAAUUAGCUGUGAUUACUGGCACCAGCCUGC